rnacentral:rRNA from 1 species
UACGGGGGGUGCAAGCGUUAAUCGGAAUCACUGGGCGUAAAGGGUGCGUAGGCGGUGCAUUAGGUCUGUCGUGAAAUCCCCGGGCUCAACCUGGGAAUGGCGGUGGAAACCGGUGUACUAGAGUAUGGGAGAGGGUGGUGGAAUUCCAGGUGUAGCGGUGAAAUGCGUAGAGAUCUGGAGGAACAUCAGUGGCGAAGGCGGCCACCUGGCCCAAUACUGACGCUGAGGCACGAAAGCGUGGGGAGCAAACAGGAUUAGAUACCCUGGUAGUCCACGCCCUAAACGAUGAAUACUAGAUGUUUGGUGCCAAGCGUACUGAGUGUCGUAGCUAACGCGAUAAGUAUUCCGCCUGGGAAGUACGGCCGCAAGGUUAAA